rnacentral:ncRNA from 1 species
ACUAUGGAGAGUUUGAUCCUGGCUCAGGAUGAACGCUAGCGGGAGGCUUAAUACAUGCAAGUCGAGCGAGAAACCCCUUCGGGGGCGGACAGCGGC